AAGACACUGGUAAAAAAGACCAUUACGUUGCCUUGUCAGGGCAAAAUUGUGGGUUAAAUCCCCGCGUGUCUUG
rnacentral:tRNA from 1 species